UACAGAGGGUGCGAGCGUUAAUCGGAGUUACUGGGCGUAAAGGGCGCGUAGGCGGUUAUAUAAGUGAGAUGUGAAAUCCCUGGGCUUAACCUAGGAACUGCAUCUCAUACUGUAUGACUGGAGUAUUGUAGAGGGUAGUGGAAUUUCCGGUGUAGCGGUGAAAUGCGUAGAGAUCGGAAGGAACACCAGUGGCGAAGGCGGCUACCUGGACAAAUACUGGACGCUGAG
rnacentral:rRNA from 1 species